AUACUUACCUGGCAGGGGAGAGACCAUGAUCAUGAAGGUGGUUUUCCAGGGCAAGGCUUAUCCCUUGCUCUCAGGUUGUGCUGCCCAUGGGAUUCUCCAAGCGGGGGAAACUCAGCUGCGUCAUUUGUGCUAACGGGGCACUGCAUUUGCGUUCUCCGC